GACGAACGCUGGCGGCGUGCCUAAUACAUGCAAGUCGAGCGGACCGAAGGGAGCUUGCUCCCGGAUGUUAGCGGCGGACGGGUGAGUAACACGUGGGUAACCUGCCUGUAAGACUGGGAUAACUCCGGGAAACCGGAGCUAAUACCGGAUAGUUCCUUGAACCGCAUGGUUCAAGGAUGAAAGACGGUUUCGGCUGUCACUUACAGAUGGACCCGCGGCGCAUUAGCUAGUUGGUGAGGUAACGGCUCACCAAGGCGACGAUGCGUAGCCGACCUGAGAGGGUGAUCGGCCACACUGGGACUGAGACACGGCCCAGACUCCUACGGGAGGCAGCAGUAGGGAAUCUUCCGCAAUGGAAGAAAGUCUGACGGAGCAACGCCGCGUGAGUGAUGAAGGUUUUCGGAUCGUAAAGCUCUGUUGUUAGGGAAGAACAAGUGCAAGAGUAACUGCUUGCACCUUGACGGUACCUAGCCAGAAAGCCACGGCUAACUACGUGCCAGCCGCCGCAGUAAUAC
rnacentral:rRNA from 1 species